rnacentral:piRNA from 1 species
UGGGACUCAGAGAAUGUUCAAAUAUCAGGA